ACUUCGAGCAGGGUGAUGGCGUACUUUUUGUAGAACGGACCGGCGAGUUACAUCCGGCGUGCGAGGAUAAGGCUGACGAGGCCGCAUCCGUAGCGAAAGCAAGUCUUAAAAGGGCGAGAUAGUACGCUGGAGUAGACCCGAAACCGGGUGAUCUACCCAUGUCCAGAGUGAAGCGGGAGUAACAUUUCGUGGAGGCUCGAACCAACCGUCGUUGAAAAGGCGGUGGAUGAGGUGUGGGUAGUGGUGAAAUGCCAAUCGAACCCGGAAAUAGCUGGUUCUCCCCGAAAUAGCUUUAGGGCUAGCCUUGUGGCAUAAGCCCCGGAGGUAGAGCACUGAAUGGGCUAGGGGCCUUCACCGGUUACCGAACUCAAUCAAACUCCGAAUGCCGGGUGCUUGGACCACAGGAGUCAGACUGCGAGUGCUAAGAUCCGUAGUCGAGAGGGAAACAGCCCAGACCGCCAGUUAAGGUCCCCAAACCGUGCUAAGUGGAAAAGGAUGUGAGGUUGCCCGGACAACCAGGAUGUUGGCUUAGAAGCAGCCACCAUUUAAAGAGUGCGUAAUAGCUCACUGGUCAAGUGACCUUGCGCCGAAAAUGUAACGGGGCUCAAGCACGGUACCGAAACUGCGGACUACUCGAGGUUCGAUGUUCGAGGUUCGAAAUUCGAAUCGAACAUCGAACAUCGAACUUCGAGAGUGGUAGGGGAGCGUUCCCAUUGGGUAGAAGCCGUACCGGAAGGAGCGGUGGACCGGUGGGAAGUGAGAAUGCCGGUAUGAGUAAGCGAAAAGGCAGGUGAGAAUCCUGCCCGCCGAAAGCCUGAGGAUUCCUGGGGAAGGCUCGUCCGCCCAGGGUAAGUCGGGCCCUAAGCCGAGGCCGAGAGGCGUAGGUGAUGGACAAUCGGUUGACAAUCCGAUACCACCUUGGUGCCGAUUGAGUGAAGGGGUGACACAGGAGGGUAGGCCGAGCGCGCGGCUGGAAAAGCGCGUCCAAGCCGGUAGGGAGUGGAGCAGGCAAACCCGCUUCACACAAAAACCCGAGAGGUGAGGGGGAGCGAAGACAAGUAGCGAAGCGGCUGACCCCAUACUGUCAAGAAAAACCUCUAGCGAGGCAACAAGGUGCCCGUACCGCAAACCGACACAGGUAGGCGGGGUGAGAAUCCUAAGGCGCGCGAGAGAACCCUCGUUAAGGAACUCGGCAAAAUGACCCCGUAACUUCGGGAGAAGGGGUGCCCCGUUAGCGUGAAGGACUUUUACGUUUGGAGCGCGAGGGGGUCGCAGAGAAAAGGCCCAAGCGACUGUUUACCAAAAACACAGGUUCCUGCUAAAUCGCAAGAUGACGUAUA
rnacentral:rRNA from 1 species